GCGAACGGACGAGAAGCUUGCUUCUCUGAUGUUAGCGGCGGACGGGUGAGUAACACGUGGAUAACCUACCUAUAAGACUGGGAUAACUUCGGGAAACCGGAGCUAAUACCAGAUAAUAUUUUGAACCGCAUGGUUCAAAAGUGAAAGACGGUCUUGCUGUCACUUAUAGAUGGAUCCGCGCUGCAUUAGCUAGUUGGUAAGGUAACGGCUUACCAAGGCAACGAUGCAUAGCCGACCUGUGAGGGUGAUCGGCCACACUGGAACUGAGACACGGUCCAGACUCCUACGGGAGGCAGCAGUAGGGAAUCUUCCGCAAUGGGCGAAAGCCUGACGGAGCAACGCCGCGUGAGUGAUGAAGGUCUUCGGAUCGUAAAACUCUGUUAUUAGGGAAGAACAUAUGUGUAAGUAACUGUGCACAUCUUGACGGUACCUAAUCAGAAAGCCACGGCUAACUACGUGCCAGCAGCCGCGGUAAUACGUAGGUGGCAAGCGUUAUCCGGAAUUAUUGGGCGUAAAGCGCGCGUAGGCGGUUUUUUAAGUCUGAUGUGAAAGCCCACGGCUCAACCGUGGAGGGUCAUUGGAAACUGGAAAACUUGAGUGCAGAAGAGGAAAGUGGAAUUCCAUGUGUAGCGGUGAAAUGCGCAGAGAUAUGGAGGAACACCAGUGGCGAAGGCGACUUUCUGGUCUGUAACUGACGCUGAUGUGCAAAGCGUGGGGAUCAAACAGGAUUA
rnacentral:rRNA from 1 species